rnacentral:rRNA from 1 species
GAGUUUGAUCUUGGCUCAGAUUGAACGCUGGCGGCAUGCCUUACACAUGCAAGUCGAACGGCAGCACGGGAGCUUGCUCCUGGUGGCGAGUGGCGAACGGGUGAGUAAUGCAUCGGAACGUAUCCUGGAGUGGGGGGAUAACGUAGCGAAAGUUACGCUAAUACCGCAUAUUCUGUGAGCAGGAAAGCGGGGGACCUUCGGGCCUCGCGCUCUUGGAGCGGCCGAUGUCGGAUUAGCUAGUUGGUGAGGUAAAGGCUCACCAAGGCGACGAUCCGUAGCAGGUCUGAGAGGAUGAUCUGCCACACUGGAACUGAGACACGGUCCAGACUCCUACGGGAGGCAGCAGUGGGGAAUUUUGGACGAAUGGGGGCAACCCUGAUCCAGCCAUGCCGCGUGAGUGAAGAAGGCC